CCUACGGGAGGCAGCAGUGGGGAAUAUUGCACAAUGGGGGAAACCCUGAUGCAGCGACGCCGCGUGAGCGAUGAAGUAUUUCGGUAUGUAAAGCUCUAUCAGCAGGGAAGAAAAUGACGGUAUCUGACUAAGAAUCCCCGGCUAACUACGUGCCAGCAGCCGCGGUAAUACGUAGGGGGCAAGCGUUAUCCGGAUGUACUGGGUGUAAAGGGAGCGUAGACGGUCCUGCAAGCCAGAUGGGAAAGCCCGGGGCUCAACCCCAGGACUGCAUUUGGAACUGUAAGGCUAGAGUGUAGGAGAGACAGGCGGAAUUCCUGGUGUAGCGGUGAAAUGCGUAGAUAUUAGGAAGAACACCGGUGGCGAAGGCGGCCUGCUGGACGAUGACUGACGUUGAGGCUCGAAAGCGUGGGGAGCAAACAGGAUUAGAUACCCUUGUAGUC
rnacentral:rRNA from 1 species